rnacentral:rRNA from 1 species
CAGCCGUAAACUAUGCGCGUUAGGUGUAUCGGUGACCACGAGUCACCGAGGUGCCGAAGGGAAACCGUGAAACGUGCCGCCUGGGAAGUACGGUCGCAAGGCUGAAACCUAAAGGAAUUGGCGGGGGAGCACCACAACGGGUGGAGCCUGCGGUUUAAUUGGACUCAACGCCGGGAAGCUCACCGGAUAAGACAGCAGAAUGAUUGCCGGGCUGAAGACCCUGCAUGACUAGCUGAGAGGAGGUGCAUGGCGUAGACGUCU